UAAACGUUACAAAUGAUGUCAUCACAUUAGUGGUGCGGGUGGUGUGCAUUUCCGUGUGGAUCAUGCAGGUCAUCAAACAUUACUGAUACAGGUAGAAUUAUUGCACCUCCAUGAUUUAGGUAAAUUUUUAUGCAGGAGUUAUCUGGUUUGUGAAUUGGUAAUUGGACAGGCGUUAAACAAAAAACUGUAGAAGUUAAAGUUAUCUAAGUGAAAAGUCGUCCACAACGAUUCUGAUAAAUUCUUAUAAUUGUCGCUCAAGUCGUACUCUCGUACUGACAAUUUAGGGAUUUUAAUUAUCAACUGAGCAGGUGAUCGCUAGACCGGUGAUCGGCAAAUUGCAAAUAAUAGGUACACUUUGUAUACACCUAUAUACUGUGUUUUCACCGUCUGAAUUGAAAUUCAUAUAAAAAAAGAAAAAUUAAUUAAAGUGAUUGUCGAACAAGGAAGUGUUCGCUGCCGUAAAAGAAGAACAUUGAAUGUUGUGUGGUUUGACAAAACCUAGGGUUGUUAUUUCAACUGGCACAAGUUGAAAGUGGGCAAAAACUUUCAGUUGCUUCUCAAACAUCGGUAAUUGUUGUGUUUACAGAAUUGAUUGUGUGUCUGGCGGCGUUGUUUAUUAAGAAAAAUGAAUUGUCAAGAAGUAGUUGCUGCUGAACUGAACAAUACAUCAUUAGCACAAUUAAUUCCCAAGUCAAAAAUUUUGGUAGUAGGAGCUGGAGGAAUUGGAUGUGAAAUAUUAAAAAAUUUGUGUCUUUCUGGUUUUCAGGAUGUGGAGAUUAUUGACUUGGACACUAUUGACGUAAGUAAUUUGAAUCGUCAGUUCUUAUUUAGAAAAGAGCAUGUUGGAAAACCCAAAGCUGUUGUUGCAAGAGAAAGUGUAAUGACAUUUACUUCCAACAUGAAAAUUAAAGCAUAUCAUGACAGCAUUUUUAAUCAAGAAUAUGGAAUUAAUUUUUUUAAAAGGUUCAAGUUAGUAUUAAAUGCUUUAGACAAUCGAUCAGCUCGCAAUCAUGUGAAUCGUAUGUGUUUAGCAGCUGAUGUUCCUCUUGUUGAAUCAGGAACAGCGGGUUACUCUGGACAGGUAGAAUUAAUAAAAAAAGGACUGACACAGUGUUAUGAAUGUCAACCAAAACCUCAACAGCGAAGUUUUCCAGGAUGUACUAUACGAAAUACACCAUCAGAACCAGUCCAUUGUAUUGUUUGGGCAAAGCAUCUGUUUAAUCAAUUGUUUGGUGAAGAUGAUCCUGAUCAGGAUGUUUCACCAGAUACAGAAGAUCCAGAAUUAAAGAAAGAUGGGGAGUUUUCUACUACGCAUACUGGCGAUGUUCAGAGAAAAUCUACCCGCCAGUGGGCCGAGGAGAUCAACUAUGAGCCUGAAAAACUGUUUAAUAAAUUUUUUAAAGACGACAUUAAUUAUUUACUUUCAAUGGAAAAUCUUUGGAAAACACGAAAAGCUCCAACCCCUUUAAGUUGGGAGGAAUCGCAUCUUUGUGUCAGUAACAUUUCAGAAGAGGAUAUUUCAACUUCAAUAGAUAUGAGAAUCUUGUCUUUACAAAAAUGUGCAGAGAUUUUCUCAGACACGGUCACAACAUUAAAAAAACAACUUGUGAAUCGUAAAUUUUUGGUUUGGGAUAAAGAUGACAAACCUGCAAUGGAUUUUGUUGCAGCCUGCGCAAAUAUUAGAGCCCAUAUAUUUUCCAUUCCACAAAAAUCAAGAUUUGCUGUGAAGUCAAUUGCCGGCAACAUCAUACCAGCAAUUGCCACUGCGAAUGCUCUAAUUGCUGGUCUUGUUGUUCUAUAUGCAUUCCGGGUCUUAAAAAAUGAAUUGAAUAAAUGUCCAACCAUAUACUUACGUCAAAAGUCUGUUUACUCAAAAGUUCUUCUUGCGGCAGAUAACAGUUUACAAUCUCCGAACCCCAAUUGUUACGUUUGUUCAUCAAAACCAGUGGUUGAUGUUUUUGUAAAUGUUUUCAAAAUGACUCUUAAUGAAUUUGAAAAUGAAAUUUUGAAGAAUACCCUUAACAUGGUAGCUCCAGAUGCAAUAUUAGAUGGAAAAGGAGUAGUGGUUAUUUCAUCCGAAGAAGGAGAAACACAGAUUAACAAUAACAAGAAACUAAAUGAGGUUGGCAUUAUAGAUGGUAGUAUUUUGAAGGUUGAUGAUUUUUUGCAAAAUUACGAACUAACAGUAAAUAUUAAUCAUUAUGAGGCUAAAGAAAAGGAUGAUCCACCUUUUAAAUUUGUGGCAAAUCCAUCUGAUUUAAAGACGAAACAAGAAAACGGUGUGAACAAUGGAGUGAAUGUUUCAACUGAUUCUUAUACAACACAACAAAGUAGUGAUGAUGAUGAUGUUGUAACUUGUACUACCGAAGAUUACGAUUAUGAAGCUUCCUCAAGCAAAAGGCGUAAAAUGAACCCACCAGAAGAUGAAGAUGAUCUUAUUAUUGUUGAAGAUGUAAUUAAUUAAUUUUUUUAUUUUUGUAACCAGUGCAUUUGAUUUUUCAAUCAUUCGUUUUUGGCAACUAUUCCAGUUCUUUUUCAACUUUUUCCACUUCCACGAGACAGAUUUUUAUGUUUGUAAUCUAGAUAAGUAACACCAGAAACGAAUUAUUAAAUUACGAAGUGAAAUUCAUUUCUAACAACUGGAUAAUUCUUUGAUUUUAAAUUCAAUUUCCACUGUACAUGAGUGUAAUUGAUACAUUUUUGUGGUCUUUUUCAAUAUUAAAAAUUACAUGAUGUUCAGAAUUUUUUAAAAUAAAUACUAUCUAAAAUGUGCCAAAUAAUACACUAAUUUAUACCAGGGGCGGCUGGUCAGGGGCGGCAGGGUCGGCCACGCCGUACCAGUCAUUUUAAAAUACUUAGUAAGCGUUGAAAUUAGAAAAUAAAAAAAGAAAUAAAGUUUGAAUGUACAAAAUAAAGCAUUUGUUGCUAA